rnacentral:misc_RNA from 1 species
UUUCCGUAGGUGAACCUGCGGAAGGAUCAUUAUUGGAUUUUGAAACUUCAGGCUGCUGCUGGCUCUCCUCGGAGGGCAUGUGCACGCUUGUUGUCCAUUAUUUCUCCCACUGUGCACAAAUUGUAGACCUUUCAGUAGGCCUAUGUUGUUUUUCACAAUCUCUGAAUGUAAUAGUAUGGUUUUGAAUCUUGGGAAAUACAAUACAACUUUCAGCAACGGAUCUCUUGGCUCUC